CACGAGAGCCCCUAGUCUGGAGACGAACGACGCGUUCGCCGAGGAGCAAGCGCCGAUGACGUCGCCGAAGAAGCCGUCGAGGUUGAUGUGAGACAUCACGUCGUCCUCCAUAUGCAACUCCAGAUCCACCAUCAGAACACUAGGGAAAAAAAAA